UGGACACCUCGAACUGGUUUGCCGACGCCGACACCCGGUACCGUAUCCCGCGCACCCUCACGAGACGCUUUACGCGCCGGCCGAUCCGGCGUGUGCCUUCAACUGCCCGGACCACUGCCUCCGGCCACUCUUUGAUGGCCACGUGUCGCCAGCGGACAUUCUCCCCCGUCGGCUCCUCCAUCGACUGCUGUCUCUGCAGCUGCGGCCGGGCGACCUCAGCCGUGGGAUCUGGGCACGAUGUUUGCCUCAUCAGGACAGGCCUAGCCUUGGCCUUCGCAGGCUUUGACGCCCUUCUUCCCCUCCCCGCCGAACUGAUCGAAUCCCCCCUUCGGCCCAUCCCAUCCUGCAUCCUUGGUCCGCGAUGCCAAUCGUCAUAAAUGCCCGUGACUAACAGGUCAUCCAACCUUUCGCCCGGCUGCAUCAUGACGAUCGGCCCUGGCUUGUCACCGCAUUGCCGCCUUCGGUUUGGCCUUUGGCGUGACCUCUGCCCCAUGCAGCUGCUUCGGACCCGAGGAUCAUCCGACUCCUCGCCCGUAAGCAACGCGUGGGUAGUGCCUUUUGCCCGGCCAAGCCCGACGGUUGUAGAUGACCCAGGAAUCCUGGACCACAGGACCAGGAUUAUCCCAUUUCACUGGAUCCCCGAGGGUAUCUCUCCGCCGGGUCUCGGUCAGCCGAACGCCUUUGGC